rnacentral:lncRNA from 1 species
CUCGACUUUUUUGAGCUUUGACAUUUCGCAGGUCCCUAGAGCGAACAAUGCCAAGACAGAUGCACUAUCGAAGCUAGCAGCUUUGCUACCCAUCGACUGAGAGGAAGGGACUUAUAUUAGGGUACUGAAAACCUUGAGCCUCGAGGAGCCCCUCAUCAUUCAACAAAUUGAUAAAAAAUCUUGCUGGAUUGACCCUCUACUCAACUAUCUG